AGAGUUUGAUCCUGGCUCAGGAUGAACGCUAGCGACAGGCUUAACACAUGCAAGUCGAGGGGCAGCGGGGUUGUAGCAAUACAACUGCCGGCGACCGGCGCACGGGUGAGUAACACGUAUGUAACCUGCCCUCUGCAGGGGGAUAAGCGGAAGAAAUUCCGUCUAAUACCGCAUGAUACAAUUUGGAGACAUCUCCGGGUUGUCAAAGGAGUGAUUCGGCAGAGGAUGGGCAUGCGGCGCAUUAGCUAGUCGGCGGGGUAACGGCCCACCGAGGCUACGAUGCGUAGGGGUUCUGAGAGGAAGGUCCCCCACACUGGUACUGAGACACGGACCAGACUCCUACGGGAGGCAGCAGUGAGGAAUAUUGGUCAAUGGGCGGAAGCCUGAACCAGCCAAGUCGCGUGAGGGAAGACGGUCCUAUGGAUUGUAAACCUCUUUUGCAGGGGAGCAAGGCGCGGUACGUGUACCGCGAAGGAGAGUACCCUGAGAAAAAGCAUCGGCUAACUCCGUGCCAGCAGCCGCGGUAAUACGGAGGAUGCGAGCGUUAUCCGGAUUUAUUGGGUUUAAAGGGUGCGCAGGCGGACUGUUAAGUCAGCGGUAAAAUGUCGGUGCUCAACACCGGCCGGCCGUUGAAACUGGCAGCCUUGAGUGAGCGAGAAGUAUGCGGAAUGCGUGGUGUAGCGGUGAAAUGCAUAGAUAUCACGCAGAACUCCGAUUGCGAAGGCAGCAUACCGGCGCUCAACUGACGCUCAGGCACGAAAGCGUGGGUAUCGAACAGGCUUAGAUACCCUGGUAGUCCACGCAGUAAACGAUGAAUGCUCACUGUCCGGGCCGUUUAAGGCCUGGGUGGUCAAGCGAAAGCGUUAAGCAUUCCACCUGGGGAGUACGCCGGCAACGGUGAAACUCAAAGGAAGUGACGGGGGCCCGCACAAGCGGAGGAACAUGUGGUUUAAUUCGAUGAUACGCGAGGAACCUUACCCGGGCUCAAACGGAAGGGGACAGUAUGAGAAAUCAUACAUUCCUUCGGGACCGCUUCCGAGGUGCUGCAUGGUUGUCGUCAGCUCGUGCCGUGAGGUGUCGGCUUAAGUGCCAUAACGAGCGCAACCCCUAUCGACAGUUGCUAGCAGGUAAAGCUGAGGACUCUGUCGAGACUGCCGGCGCAAGCUGUGAGGAAGGCGGGGAUGACGUCAAAUCAGCACGGCCCUUACGUCCGGGGCGACACACGUGUUACAAUGGCAGGUACGGCGGGAGGCCACCCGGCGACGGGGCGCAGAACCCGAAAACCUGUCUCAGUUCGGAUUGGAGUCUGCAACCCGACUCCAUGAAGCUGGAUUCGCUAGUAAUCGCGCAUCAGCCACGGCGCGGUGAAUACGUUCCCGGGCCUUGUACUCACAGGCCGUCAAG
rnacentral:rRNA from 1 species